GUCCCCAUCGUCUAGCGGUUAGGACUCCACUCUUUCAAGGUGGCAACGCGGGUUCGACUCCCGCUGGGGACACCA
rnacentral:tRNA from 2 species